UACGUAGGGUGCAAGCGUUAAUCGGAAUUACUGGGCGUAAAGCGUGCGCAGGCGGUGAUGUAAGUCAGGUGUGAAAUCCCCGGGCUUAACCUGGGAACUGCAUUUGUGACUGCAUCGCUGGAGUGCGGCAGAGGGGGAUGGAAUUCCGCGUGUAGCAGUGAAAUGCGUAGAGAUGCGGAGGAACACCGAUGGCGAAGGCAGCCCCCUGGGCUAGCACUGACGCUCAGGCACGAAAGCGUGGGGAGCAAACAGG
rnacentral:rRNA from 1 species